rnacentral:tRNA from 1 species
AUUGUGGCUCAGAGGGAGAGCGCUUGCCUUGUAUGCAUGAGGCACUGGGUUCGAUCCUCAGCACCACAUA